AAGUUGGUAUUCACACAUCUCAGUUAAGGCUCCUGGAACUCUUGACUGGAAAUCACAAAGCUAGAAGAGAAUCCUUCAAGGGUCAGAAUCCAGAACAAAGGAAUUUCCAUCUCACAAAUUCCCACAAUGUAGUUUUGAAAAGAUUUAUUAAUUUUGUCUGUGAACUUUGUUUUUCUGUAUUUAUUUGUACCAUGCAUGAGCCUGAUCUCCACAGGGCACUGGAUGCUCUUGGGCAGGAGUUAUGGAUGGCUGUGAGCAACCAUCUGCCUGCUGGGAUCGAGACAUCAUCUGCAUUAGCACCAAGUGCUCUCAACCCCUGGGCUAUCUCCAAUUCCUGGACCAGUUUCUAAAAUAAACAUAAAUCUAAAGUA